AUGGCGCCGCGUCGGAAUAAUUUGCCUCUACUCUUCCUCCAUCUCGUUGUCGCUGCAACUGGUGGCGUCGAGGGGCAGAUGGCUUGGUCGUCUCGCCGAUCUCGGGAUCCGGCGAGGUUCGUGUCUGGUGGUUGGUCGACGGCGCUCUCGCGGGUGGUGGUCGUGUCGUCUGCUGUAGUUGUGUUUACUGUCUUGCAGUUGGGUGCGUGGAUGACGGCAGGCGGCGACGUUCCUCUUCUUCGACUACAUCGGAUGAAGUUGACGGCGUCGAGAUCUGGUGACCACGGGGAAGAUCCCCGGCCUACGUGCCACAAAGACUCGGUCUCGUCGCUUGCGGCGACCCGCUUCAUCAGCUCAAAAAGCAUCUUUGUAUGUGGUGGUGCUCUCCCAGAUCUGGGUAUGGCGGCUGUUCUCAUCUUCUUCCGGCGUUGCCAUGGUGGUGGCGGAGGACGUUUGUGGACUAUGUUUCGGCAAGGCACGAGUUUCUUCAAGGGUGGAAUAAUAGUUUUACCUCUUGUAGAAUUCUUUGUGCAGAGUUGCUUGACAAGUAUUUGUGUCUCGUAUGGUGCCAUAUGUGUAAUCUAUGUAAACAGAUUGUCAAGUGAAAUAUAUGGUUGCUUAAAAAAAACAACCAGAUGUGGGUAUAAAUUUUUGGAGAUGUCUGUAAAGCAACUAAGCUUAGACCGUGGCGAUGACGGUGGCGUGCCUUUGGCUCGUUCCAGUGCUUGUAGUCGUCGGUAG
rnacentral:rRNA from 1 species